UCUGAAUAUAACUAACUUCCUUCCUUCCUGCCUUCCUCCCUCCCUGCCUUCCCUUCCUUCCUGCCUUCCUUCUUCCUUCCUCCCUUUUUUCUUUUCUCCCUUCCUUCCUUCUUAAUAUGUUUUUGGCCUUUUCUUUAUAUAUGUGGCCUAGCAAUAUCCUGUGUUUGGAAAAGUAUAAACCUAAGGCAUCACCUUUACAGAAAAUAUCUUCCACGGAAACAUCUAAAGGCAAAAAUCCUUCAAAUUCAAAUUUAUCCAAUCAUUUCUUCUGCUUACUACCAUCCUAAAUCAUUUUUCUUUAGUAAGAUCUAUUAGUGUGAAGCUAUUAAGCUAUUAAUGUAUGUAUCAUAUUAAUGUAUUAAGACAUUAAGUGAGGAAGUAAAGUUGCAUUCACAGGCCUUGAACUUUUCCACAUCUCGAUUUUUACCCAUCAUCUCUGCAUAGUUCCCUAAGGCAGCCUUCAAAUGGUGAUGUUUCUUAUAAUCCAGAGUUCAGAAGUGGCUUCUCUUCAAUCUUUCUGUGGAAUUCUAAACCACGUGAUAAAGGAGCUGGUGGCCACAGAUCAGCCCUGGGGUUCAGAGGGAUCCUGACAGCUACUCCUCAAGAUCCUCUCUGUUGUGAUUCAUCCCCCCGGGGCCCUACAGUUUCUCCUUCCUGACUCUUACAUUUCUUUGGAUGGCAUCAUUAUUGCUGGAGUGCAGUGAUGUGAUCUCGGCUCACUGCAACCCCUGCCUCCUGGAUUCAAGCAAUUCUCCUGCCUCACCCUCCCAAGUAGCUGGGAUUACAGUACCUGUCUCCUCCCAUAGUUAGGUGCCAAGCACUGUGGAUUCUGCCUCUCAGUGUCCAGACACCCAUUU
rnacentral:lncRNA from 1 species